AACGCAAAUUGCACUUUCUGGUAUUCCGGAGAGUAUGCCUGUUUGAGGGUCAGUGUAAUAAAUAAAUCGUGGUUGUUACCACCUUUCGUGGUAACGCUUCGGAAUUGAGUCGUCUUACCUUCGGUUAAGUGACUUAAAAUUUUAUCAUACGAUUUCGAAACGUAUUUAAUGUAUUAUGUACGUUCACGAAUAUCGAAUGUUUAUUAGGUGCGGUCAUUUUUCAUGAAUCGUGUCUAUAAUUUUUUUUUUUUUGACCUCAAAUCAGGUAAGAAUACCCGCUGAACUUAA
rnacentral:misc_RNA from 1 species